AGAGUUUGAUCCUGGCUCAGAUUGAACGCUGGCGGCAGGCCUAACACAUGCAAGUCGAGCGGAUGAUGGGAGCUUGCUCCCGGAUUCAGCGGCGGACGGGUGAGUAAUGCCUAGGAAUCUGCCUGGUAGUGGGGGACAACGUUUCGAAAGGAACGCUAAUACCGCAUACGUCCUACGGGAGAAAGCAGGGGACCUUCGGGCCUUGCGCUAUCAGAUGAGCCUAGGUCGGAUUAGCUAGUUGGUGGGGUAAAGGCCUACCAAGGCGACGAUCCGUAACUGGUCUGAGAGGAUGAUCAGUCACACUGGAACUGAGACACGGUCCAGACUCCUACGGGAGGCAGCAGUGGGGAAUCUUGCGCAAUGGGGGGAACCCUGACGCAGCGACGCCGCGUGCGGGACGGAGGCCUUCGGGUCGUAAACCGCUUUCAGCAGGGAAGAGUCAAGACUGUACCUGCAGAAGAAGCCCCGGCUAACUACGUGCCAGCAGCCGCGGUAAUACGUAGGGGGCGAGCGUUAUCCGGAUUCAUUGGGCGUAAAGCGCGCGUAGGCGGCCCGGCAGGCCGGGGGUCGAAGCGGGGGGCUCAACCCCCCGAAGCCCCCGGAACCUCCGCGGCUUGGGUCCGGUAGGGGAGGGUGGAACACCCGGUGUAGCGGUGGAAUGCGCAGAUAUCGGGUGGAACACCGGUGGCGAAGGCGGCCCUCUGGGCCGAGACCGACGCUGAGGCGCGAAAGCUGGGGGAGCGAACAGGAUUAGAUACCCUGGUAGUCCCAGCCGUAAACGAUGGACGCUAGGUGUGGGGGGACGAUCCCCCCGUGCCGCAGCCAACGCAUUAAGCGUCCCGCCUGGGGAGUACGGCCGCAAGGCUAAAACUCAAAGGAAUUGACGGGGGCCCGCACAAGCAGCGGAGCAUGUGGCUUAAUUCGAAGCAACGCGAAGAACCUUACCAGGGCUUGACAUAUGGGUGAAGCGGGGGAGACCCCGUGGCCGAGAGGAGCCCAUACAGGUGGUGCAUGGCUGUCGUCAGCUCGUGUCGUGAGAUGUUGGGUUAAGUCCCGCAACGAGCGUAACCCCCGCCGCGUGUUGCCAUCGGGUGAUGCCGGGAACCCACGCGGGACCGCCGCCGUCAAGGCGGAGGAGGGCGGGGACGACGUCAAGUCAUCAUGCCCCUUAUGCCCUGGGCUGCACACGUGCUACAAUGGCCGGUACAGAGGGAUGCCACCCCGCGAGGGGGAGCGGAUCCCGGAAAGCCGGCCCCAGUUCGGAUUGGGGGCUGCAACCCGCCCCCAUGAAGUCGGAGUUGCUAGUAAUCGCGGAUCAGCAUGCCGCGGUGAAUGCGUUCCCGGGCCUUGUACACACCGCCCGUCA
rnacentral:rRNA from 1 species